ensembl:lncRNA
GCUGUAGGAGAAACACAAAUUACCUCAGGCACACAGACUGAUGCGACAAAACCGACAUGACUGGUUAGGACAUGAGGAGGAAACAGUAGGAGCUGUGUGAGGCUACUAAAGGCAGUGGAUCCCUCAGCAGCUGGAUUACAAAGAACACAGUCUCAGAUCAGCACAGCCCUGCCCUCCAGCACUAUCAGCAGCAGGAGCAGCAGCAACCCCUCAACAGCAACAUUGUACCCAUCAGACAGACAGCCAGGUUCAUAAUGGAUAUAAGGAAGUUUUUUCAAAAACAGGAGCCACAUUCAGUCCAAAGAGGGAGAGAGGAAAGAGGGGAACGUGAGGAGAAAGUACAAGGUCAGGAAGAACCAGGUAAGAAAACAGACAGGGAACAGUGACAGGCAAAACAGAAACUGUUAAACUGGCAAAGAGAAAAAACCUGAUUUUACUCACACAAUCUAGAAGUUGCGUUCUCCCUAUAUUAAAGCUGCUAUACAGAAUCUGCAAAACAAACUGGGUUGAAACAUUUUUGACCCUCUUUAACAACAUUCCAACAUAACAUUAUCAUUGAUUGGGGAGAUUAAAAUUAAUGAUAUAUUUUUAUGUGGUUCAGCCACAACUCUACUAAAACCUCAGGCAGUAAUAGGUAGGCCAACUUUUGGACCGUCCAGUUGUCUGUAUGACUGCCACAGUACGUACAUCACAUUUGCACACUAUCAGAAAGAGCCAAACAGCCCUGGUGGAGUGAGGAGCUGUAACAAGAAGCAGAG